GUGGGGAAUCUUCCGCAAUGGACGAAAGUCUGACGGAGCAACGCCGCGUGAGUGAUGAAGGUCUUCGGAUUGUAAAGCUCUGUUAAUCGGGACGAAAGAGCCUAGUGUGAAUAAUGCUAGGAAGUGACGGUACCGGAAUAGAAAGCCACGGCUAACUACGUGCCAGCAGCCGCGGUAAUACGUAGGUGGCAAGCGUUGUCCGGAAUUAUUGGGCGUAAAGCGCGCGCAGGCGGAUCUGACAGUCUGUCUUAAAAGUUCGGGGCUUAACCCCGUGAUGGGAUGGAAACUACAGAUCUAGAGUAUCGGAGAGGAAAGUGGAAUUCCUAGUGUAGCGGUGAAAUGCGUAGAUAUUAGGAAGAACACCAGUGGCGAAGGCGACUUUCUGGACGAAAACGGACGCUGAGGCGCGAAAGCCAGGGGAGCGAACGGGAUUAGAAACCCGUGUAGUCC
rnacentral:rRNA from 1 species